rnacentral:rRNA from 1 species
CAGUAGCCACGGUAAUACGGAGGGUGCAAGCGUUAAUCGGAAUUACUGGGCGUAAAGCGUGCGUAGGCGGUUUGUUAAGUCUGUUGUGAAAUCCCCGGGCUCAACCUGGGAAUGGCAAUGGAUACUGGCAAGCUAGAGUGUGUCAGAGGAUGGUGGAAUUCCCGGUGUAGCGGUGAAAUGCGUAGAGAUCGGGAGGAACAUCAGUGGCGAAGGCGGCCAUCUGGGACAACACUGACGCUGAGGCACGAAAGCGUGGGGAGCAAACAGGAUUAGAUACCCCAGUAGUCCCUGUCUCUUAUAC